AACGAACGCUGGCGGCAGGCUUAACACAUGCAAGUCGAGCGCCCCGCAAGGGGAGCGGCAGACGGGUGAGUAACGCGUGGGAAUCUACCCUUCUCUACGGAAUAACGCAUGGAAACGUGUGCUAAUACCGUAUACGUCCUUCGGGAGAAAGAGUUAUCGGAGAUGGAUGAGCCCGCGUUGGAGUAGCUAGUUGGUGGGGUAAAGGCCUACCAAGGCGACGAUCCAUAGCUGGUCUGAGAGGAUGAUCAGCCGCACUGGGACUGAGACACGGCCGAGACUCCUGCGGGCGGCAGCAGUGGGGAAUAUUGUACCAUGGGCGCAAGCCUGAUCCAGCCAUGCCGCGUGAGUGAUGAAGGCGCUAGGGUUGUAAAGCUCUUUCACCGGUGAAGUUAAAGACGGUAACCGGAGAAGAAGCCCCGGCUAACUUCGUGCCAGCCGCCGCCGUAAAAC
rnacentral:rRNA from 1 species